rnacentral:misc_RNA from 1 species
UUCAAUGCACCUAUAACUACUGCGGAAUAAACAUCCAUUUAAUACAAUACAGCAAAAAAGUUAGUGAGCUGNCUUUAGGCAAAUAAAGUGUUUUCGGGUUCACAAUUAUAAUAUACCUUUUUUGGUCACUUUUCCGANGGAUGUACUUACACAAUUUUCACAAUUGUGAUGUGAAUACAACAAUGUAUCAAGUGAUCCGUUUUCUAUUUUUCUGUUUGCUGGGCUUGGGAUUUUUGAAACUAUCGCCGGCUCAAGUAACACAAGAAUAUACAGGCGAAAGCGUACGUUCACUAAAUUCACUAAGUUAUGCCCUCAAUCUAUUAGACAAUAAAUUGGAGCGUCAUGAACAUCGCGAAAGAGCGCUUGGUGAAGUAAUUAAGAAAGCUCUAACGUCUCUACAAAGAGGACAACUUAACCUCGAACGUCUAUAUGGUUCACAAACACAUUUCGAUCAGCGUUUUAGCGAUACUGACUUUCACUUAAAAGCGCAAGAAGAACGAUUAANAAACCGCAUUGAAACAUUCUUUACGGAACAAGACAAAACCAAUCAACGGCUACUCGAGCAAUUGACGAAAUUGUCCUGGAACGUGGAAAAAUUGUUGGAUAACUCGAACGACUUGAGAAAGCCAAGCAACAAAGAGUCUUACAAUAUUGAUUGGUAUGAAAAGCAAAAAUCAGUGCCAGAUAUUCACUUAAAUGAUAAAAGGAAAUCAAAUGAAGAGCUUUACAGCAGCAUUAACUACAACCUGUCAAGGCCAUUUUACAGUAACAUUAACUACAACCUGACAAGACCAACCGUGCAACAGCUGCUGAAGUAUCCCGUGUUCGAUAGCAAAAUGCUUGUGAAACCCGAGGAGCUAGCGUCACAAACUCAACAGCCUUGUGCGCAGCCUUCGUCACAAAACGGUCUCACAGAUGCCGUCAAGAUAUUUUUACACGAGUUGACUAACGAAACACACAACCUUCUACAUGAUAUGAACACCAAUGUGCAAAAUAUGUUACAGAAAUCACAUACUGAAGUCACGUCGGGUCUUCAAGAAGUCGAACAGAGUCUACAUUCCGAUGCCGAGNAAAUUACGAAAAAGCUCAACAACUACGAAAUUUCAAUGCAGGAAUUCCAUAGCGAAAUGAUUAACACUUACAAUAAGGUAAAUGAUAGUUUUGAAACUUUAAGCAGGUGCAAUAGCGACUCAAAGCCACGCAGACAAGUCAUGAAUACGGAGGCAAGCACCAGCGAUUUAGUAACUGAUAAACAACCAGAGCAAACGCAGUUGCUUGAUUUGCUGAAGACACAUUUCGACACAAUUCACCAAAACAUGACAAGCACUCAACUUGAAAUGGUGACAAAUCUCAGCGCCACCAUUAAAAAUGAAAUUAGUUUUUUGUGGCGUCAAAUUUCCAUUACGAAUGGCGAGAUCAACGACAGCAGAGAUUUCCUACGGCUAAUGCGCGAUCGGAAUGAAAUCUUCGUCAACAGUAUUUUACAAAGCAUAACUGCUAUUAGCUUAAAAGUGGAGGAUAUCAAAGAACGUGUAACGGACAUGAGUGACUAUCAAAAUUAUUUGUCCAACAAGUUACCAUUAUUGCCACAAGAAUUUGCCGACAUGCAACAAGCAUUCAUCGGUUGGCUAGAACAGCUAAGUGAGACCAUCAAAAUAAUGCAAGAAACGAAGAANGGUUGGGCGUCGAAAAUUAUUUGGAAAUGAAAUAAUUUCGUAUUAAUUUCGGAGCAACGCGAGCAGCUUAAUAUAAUCAUAGAAUUAAACGACAAGUUGACAGUAUAAACAUUUUGGGGAAAACAUUUACAUUAGUUUUCAAACUGUUAUAUCCGCUACUUUGAAUCGUUGCAGUUAUGUCGAUGGAGCAGUUUCAAAACAGAUCUGAUAUUUAAUUUAAAAAAUAAACUCAAUUUUACUGAGUCUCUCUGCUGAAUUAGUAAUUUCUUUGUUAAAAUUCCAUUAAUCCCAAACCAAUCAAAGACAUAUUCACAUACAUUACAUACGCAUGUAUUUUACAAAUACAUAUUCGGCACGCAAUCCAUUUCUUUUCCAUAAAAAAUACAUAACUCUAUUUCGAAGGAAUUUUUUUUUGCACCUUGACAAAAAUGUGUUUCAAUUUGUUUCUAGACAUUUAACUUAGCUCAUAAACAGAAGAAUAAACUGUAUGUAUUAAAAUGUAAUUUACAUAAA